CCUCUUAGGUCUUUCUAGCGUUUCAAAACAUAACAUCCCUCUUCUGAAGUCCUUCCAGAUUUGAAUAAUGUUUCAGCUUUUUGUCAAUUAACCUGUUUUCAGGCCGGUGAAAAUUAUAGGGAAGGCAACUCAAUAAUUUACUUGGGAAAAAGGCUUUGCCAUCAUUUUCAUCAACAUCUGAAUGAAUGUACUUCAGUGAAAUGACAGUGACGAGUGUUGAAGGCAUGCACUGAGUAGCUGGUGAAGGUGCUGAGAGACAUAGCUAAAGGAGAAAGAGCAAUGAAUGAAAGAAGAGAAGAGAAGAGAUGUGCUGGAACAGUUAACGAGAAGAAGUGAGAAUCAGGAGAAGCUAUGUGUCUGAGCCUGUGACUUUUGGUAGCUAGGUGGAGAACAGAUAUAUGAUUAUGAUCUAUGACCACACCACGCCAGCUUCCAUUAUCAUGACGACCCAGAUGUGUGUAUCUAGCUGCAUGCAUAACUAAGCUGAUGCAAACUAAACCUGGAAAAAAGAGAAAGAGAAAAUGCAACUUCUCUCUUCUAUUCUAUAAUUAAGACUCUGAUGUGUGUUUUAGUGUAAUGUAUUUAUGGAGCUUCUAAAGCUGUUGAAAAUUCAGAAUCCAUCUCCGGAAAAGGUUGGAUCAGCAAUAUCAGGUUCAUCACCCUUUUCGUGGAGUCACUGUAGUAAUAGUGAGAUGAGAUCUUUUAGCAUUUGAAAUUGAAAAGCAUUUGGAGAGAGAAAGAGAAAGAAAGUAAAUGUAGAGUAUCUGAUAUGUUUCUUGGGAAAUGAAACUAAGAGAAAGACACAGCAACUCGGGGACCGGUUCAUGACAAACUUGGUCUCUUUAAAGAAGUGAAACAAUUGCACUCCUUUUAUUGUUGA